rnacentral:tRNA from 1 species
AAGAUUUUAAGUUAAACAAUCAAAACUAUAAGCCUUCAAAGCUUAAUUUAUAAUUUUAUUAUAAAUCUUA